AGAAAAUCAAGUGUAAUUUCCUAAGUUGCUGAAGCAAGGGUUCUUCUGUGAAAUCACCAUUAGUAUUUCUAAAUCCAAUUUGAUUAUAUUUAAGAUUUACUGCGCACAGUUCAGUGGCACCUGGGAAUUUCUUCAGGCGGAGAUGGAAUUACGAGUAUUCAUCACUUCUACUAGUAUCUCCACAGGAAGUAGAAUACAGGCAAUAUUAUCAUGAGCCUUCUUCUGCACCCACUCACUCACUCAUUUUGAAAGGCAAUGAAACCAAGGACAUUCUCGUGUCUCAGCAUCACCGUCUGGUAAAUUUCUGCCUCACGA